GGAAGCGUGGCAGAGUGGUUUAAUGCACCGGUCUUGAAAACCGACGAGUCUUCACGGGCUCCGUGAGUUCGAAUCUCACCGCUUCCGCCA
rnacentral:tRNA from 2 species